CAAAACAUGUCUGUGUGGGUUACAAGUUAAUACAAAGUCUGGCCUGCCCCCUGAGUGUACUUAAAGGGCCGCGGUAACUUGACCGUGCGAAGGUAGCAUAAUCAUUAGUUCUUUAAUUGAGGGCUUGUAUGAAUGGCUGUAUGGAAAGAAGAUUGUCUCUUUAGUUAAUAUUUUGAAUUUAACAUUUGUGUAAAAAGGCAUUAAUGGUUUAAGGGGACGAUAAGACCCUAUAAAAUUUAUAUAUAGUUAGGGUUAUAUAUUGAUGUUAUUAAAUAAUAUGGAUUUUAAAUUAUAUUGUGUUGGGGUGACUUGAAUAUAAAAAUGGUAUAUAACUAUUUUAGGUUGUAAAAUAUAAAUAAAUAGAUUAUGAUCCUUUAAUAAAGAUUAUUAAAUUAAGUUACUUUAGGGAUAACAGCGUAAUUUCUUUUGAGAGUUCUUAUCGAUAGAGUGAGUUGCGACCUCGAUGUUGAAUUAAAAUUUCUUGUGGGUGCAGCAGUUCAGCAAGUGGGUCUGUUCGACCUUUAAAAUUUUACAUGAUUUGAGUUCAAACCGGUGUGAGCCAGGU
rnacentral:rRNA from 1 species